GUAGGUGGCAAGCGUUGUCCGGAAUUAUUGGGCGUAAAGCGCGCGCAGGCGGUUCUUUAAGUCUGAUGUGAAAGCCCACGGCUCAACCGUGGAGGGUCAUUGGAAACUGGGGAACUUGAGUACAGAAGAGGAAAGCGGAAUUCCACGUGUAGCGGUGAAAUGCGUAGAGAUGUGGAGGAACACCAGUGGCGAAGGCGGCUUUCUGGUCUGUAACUGACGCUGAGGCGCGAAAGCGUGGGGAGCAAACAGGGAUUAGAUACCCUGGUAGUCCACGCGUAAACGAUGAGUGCUAAGUGUUAGGGGGUUUCCGCCCCCUUAGUGCUGCAGCUAACGCAUUAAGCACUCCGCCUGGGGAGUACGGCCGCAAGGCUG
rnacentral:rRNA from 1 species